CCCUUAGAUGUUCUGGGCGGCCCGCGCACUACAACGGCGUGUGCAGCGAGUGCCGAAGUAGAGUUUUCCGAGGUAUUCUUGCAAUGCUCGUUUUGAUGGGGAUAGACCCUUGCAACUGUUGGUUUUGAACGAGGAAUUCCUUGUAAGCAUGGUUUAUCAUCCGACGCUGAAUGCGUCCCUGCCCUUUGUACACACCGCCCGUCGCUCCUACCGAUGAGUCGUCCGGUGAAGUUCGUAGACCUCGUGAUCGCGGAUCACUGGGGGAAGCAAAAUGAACCUCGCGGUUUAGAGGAAGGAGAAGUCGUAACA
rnacentral:rRNA from 1 species